AUGUACUGUGUGGUUGCACAGAACAUCAGUGCUGGUUGCACAAUAACAAAAAUACUAAACUUUUUAUAUGAUUAUUACACAGGUGAUCGUGACGGUCCUACUGCCCCGUUGGAGGCUGCAUCCCUUGCACAAGCUUCUGAUGAUUUUGUGCCCAGGGAUCCUCCAAGGUCUACUACAAAGGGUAGGGCAAAGAGUCGACGGUACAAAUCGGCGCUGGAGCUACACCCAAAGAAGAAAAACAAAUGCAGCCAGUGCCAAUCUACAGAGCACACUGUUGGUGUGUGUCCACAGAGGCUCCUGUGA
rnacentral:rRNA from 1 species